rnacentral:rRNA from 1 species
AGUGAACGCUGGCGGUAGGCCUAACACAUGCAAGUCGAACGGCAGCACAGUAAGAGCUUGCUCUUACGGGUGGCGAGUGGCGGACGGGUGAGGAAUACAUCGGAAUCUACUUUUUCGUGGGGGAUAACGUAGGGAAACUUACGCUAAUACCGCAUACGACCUACGGGUGAAAGCAGGGGAUCUUCGGACUUUGCGCGAUUGAAUGAGCCGAUGUCGGAUUAGCUAGUUGGCGGGGUAAAGGCCCACCAAGGCGACGAUCCGUAGCUGGUCUGAGAGGAUGAUCAGCCACACUGGAACUGAGACACGGUCCAGACUCCUACGGGAGGCAGCAGUGGGGAAUAUUGGACAAUGGGCGCAAGCCUGAUCCAGCCAUACCGCGUGGGUGAAGAAGGCCUUCGGGUUGUAAAGCCCUUUUGUUGGGAAAGAAAAGCAGCAGGUUAAUACCCCGCUGUUCUGACGGUACCCAAAGAAUAAGCACCGGCUAACUUCAUG